ACAGCCAGAGUUACUGCAGAUGGGUUUGCCCAGAGGACAAGCCAGAAAAGAGAACGGGUGUCAGUGCUACUCCCACAAAUGUAAUUCCCUCGGCAGGGAAACACCUGUCUGCCUGCAGAGAUGGGCACGGGCCGGGUAAAGUGCUGUGCUGGAGCCAUGUGAGGAGAGGGAAGGGGAGAGAAUGAGAAGAGAAAAAGGAAGAGAAAGAGGAAGAGAAGAGGAGGAGAGGAAGAAGAGAGGAAGAGGAGGAGGAAAGGGGAAGGGAAGAGGAUAGAAGAGGAAGGAAAGUUAGAGAAGAGGAAGAGGAAGGGAAGAGAGAACAGGAAGGGAAGAGGAAGAGCAGAAAGAGAACUUGACAAUAUGAAGAACAGCUACAACAUUGUUUUCUUAAAUGCAGCUUGAAGAAAGUAAGUUAAAAGAUGAGUCAUCAUUCCGAAACGUUCGCCCAACAAGUUAAAUAACUCUUACUUUCUUAACGACUUAUUAAUCAAAGCGCAUUGAUUCCUGAAUCAGAUUCUACCACCAGCAGGCUUUCUAUCUUCUCCAUCCCGAUGCACGCAUUAUGAGAGUUUUAUUCUGACAGAUACAAUAUAGCAAUCAAUAAAAUCUUAUUAUAUGGAGCGGAGAUACAUGGAUUUGUUGCAGGAUUUAUGCAUUACUUCCUGGCCCGGUGCUAUUUCAUGUCUCAGCCUUAACCUGUAAUUGAAAAUAAAUCUCUCCAAAUACA